rnacentral:rRNA from 1 species
AGCGGCAGACGGGUGAGUAACGCGUGGAAACGUACCUUUUGGUUCGGAACAACACAGGGAAACUUGUGCUAAUACCGGAUAAGCCCUUACGGGGAAAGAUUUAUCGCCGAAAGAUCGGCCCGCGUCUGAUUAGCUAGUUGGUGAGGUAAUGGCUCACCAAGGCGACGAUCAGUAGCUGGUCUGAGAGGAUGAUCAGCCACAUUGGGACUGAGACACGGCCCAAACUCCUACGGGAGGCAGCAGUGGGGAAUAUUGGACAAUGGGCGCAAGCCUGAUCCAGCCAUGCCGCGUGAGUGAUGAAGGCCCUAGGGUUGUAAAGCUCUUUUGUGCGGGAAGAUAAUGACGGUACCGCAAGAAUAAGCCCCGGCUAACUUCGUGCCAGCAGCCGCGGUAAUACGAAGGGGGCUAGCGUUGCUCGGAAUCACUGGGCGUAAAGGGUGCGUAGGCGGGUCUUUAAGUCAGGGGUGAAAUCCUGGAGCUCAACUCCAGAACUGCCUUUGA